rnacentral:ncRNA from 2 species
UACGGAGGGUGCGAGCGUUAAUCGGAAUUACUGGGCGUAAAGGGCGCGUAGGCGGUUCGGUCAGUCGGAUGUGAAAGCCCCGGGCUUAACUUGGGAAUUGCAUUCGAUACUGCCGGGCUAGAGUGUGGUAGAGGGAAGCGGAAUUCCCGGUGUAGCGGUGAAAUGCGUAGAUAUCGGGAGGAACAUCAGUGGCGAAGGCGGCUUCCUGGACCAACACUGACGCUGAGGCGCGAAAGCGUGGGGAGCAAACAGG